UGCCGUUGUGGCCCCAGAGUGGAGUCGCCAGGAUCACAGGGUGACGUCGAGGACCACUAAACACAAGAACGCGUGGACCAAUCAGGGAAGAGAACCCAAGCAACGAGGAAUGGAUUUUUAUUUCAAGUCAAACAAUAAAUCUUAAAUCCAGCUUAGAAAAUCAACAAAUUUAUUAAAGUAUUAUUUGGGUGCAAGAAUUUAUUGAUCUGUGGUUAAGUUAGGUUUGGAUGGGUUAAGUCAGGUCAAUCGGACAUAUGGAUAGGCGUCUGUGUAUCCAGCAGUAAUUGGGGACCUGGAUGUUAAUAGAUUUGUGGAUGGUGUUCUUGGGUAAUGGUUAGCCAGUACAGUUGGUGAGUUGUCCGGUCUUCAAGGACUAUUCCUUGACACCAGGUCAUGCAACUUGUUAACUCAGGGUUUAAUAUAUUGUUCAGUUAGCAUCUUGUACCUUAGUUAGGUAACUCUUCUUGGUUAUAUAUAAAUUCAUCCUUGGGCAGUCAUUUUCUUAUAGUAGCCAAUGCUGAAAUGUCAAACUCUGGGUUAAAAUUUGUUUUUUGAUCAUGUCAAGCAGAAGACUUGUUGAAAUUAACAUACAAUAUUUAGAUAUUUACUCUUCUUAUAUACAACUUUUCCUAAUAGUACUGGCAUGUGUUUAUCUAGCAAUGGUAUUUAAAGAAUGAUUGCUACAAGAAUGGCAUUAAUUUUGUGGACUUGAAUAUAGAGUUUUAUGUUAAUACAGGCCGUCCCUAAUUUACAACAGAGAUAAGUUCCUCGACCCAUAGUUUAGGUUAGGUUAAAGCCCAUACAAAACAACAAUAAUAUCCCAUAUAUCAAAAAUAAUGUAAAUAAAGUGAUGUUAAACAUUAUAUAAUGAUGAAAAUAAUGAAAAAAAUGGGAUUUUAAUUAAAAUUUUUUGCAGUGAAUGUAUUGAGAUCCCGUUCAUAAGUGCGGGUGAUGGUAAGUCUGACGGUCGUAACUCGGGGACUGCCUGUAUACACUUUAUGUUUGGCCAUGAUGUGCCACAAACAUUAAUAUCUUACAGAAUGAGAUAUAAGUAUUUAAACUAUU